rnacentral:tRNA from 1 species
UAUAGCUCAAUGGUAGAGCACAUGCUUAGCAUGCAUGAGGCCCUGGGUUCAAUCCCAUUA